rnacentral:rRNA from 1 species
GAUGAACGCUGGCGGCGUGCCUAAUACAUGCAAGUCGAGCGAACGGACGAGAAGCUUGCUUCUCUGAUGUUAGCGGCGGACGGGUGAGUAACACGUGGAUAACCUACCUAUAAGACUGGGAUAACUUCGGGACACCGGAGCUAAUACCGGAUAAUAUUUUGAACCGCAUGGUUCAAAAGUGAAAGACGGUCUUGCUGUCACUUAUAGAUGGAUCCGCGCUGCAUUAGCUAGUUGGUAAGGUAACGGCUUACCAAGGCAACGAUGCAUAGCCGACCUGAGAGGGUGAUCGGCCACACGGGAACUGAGACACGGUCCAGACUCCUACGGGAGGCAGCAGUAGGGAAUCUUACGCAAUGGGCGAAAGCCUGACGGAGCAACGCCGCGUGAGUGAUGAAGGUCUUCGGAUCGUAAAACUCUGUUAUUAGGGAAGAACAUAUGUGUAAGUAACUGUGCACAUCUUGACGGUACCUAAUCAGAAAGCCACGGCUAACUACGUG